UACGGAGGAUGCGAGCGUUAUCCGGAUUUAUUGGGUUUAAAGGGUGCGUAGGCGGUCUGUUAAGUCAGCGGUAAAAUUGCGGGGCUCAACCCCGUCGAGCCGUUGAAACUGGCAGACUUGAGUUGGCGAGAAGUACGCGGAAUGCGCGGUGUAGCGGUGAAAUGCAUAGAUAUCGCGCAGAACUCCGAUUGCGAGGGCAGCGUACCGGCGCCACACUGACGCUGAGGCACGAAAGCGUGGGGAUCGAACAGG
rnacentral:rRNA from 1 species